UAUUGCUCUUAAAUUUUCCAAAAAUGCAGGCAUGACCAACUUAGUCGUCUGCAGUUUCACUUUUCUGUCACCGCCAAAGAACACUGCCAAUGGUGCAGUUUUUUGGUAGGCUUCACAUCUUUUAAAAGUACCUUAAAAGAACAUUACCAAGAAUUUCUCAUCCUAAGAACAAACCAGCUUAGCUAGCCUCCCCAUUUUGCAAACAGAAUAGCAGCUCACUUUGAAGAAAAUGGGCCCAUAUUGUCAUCAUGCUUACUGAGGGCAUGCAAAGCGUAGAAUGCCAGAUUGGGAGCAGUACUGGGGCACUCCUGACAAUCUUCUCAUGGUAGACAUUGUCUUAUAACACAUGCUAGGCAUGUAUAUAUGCUACAUGUAUUUAAUGUGAGAAAAACUGCAAAGCUGGCUGGCAGCAUAUCGCAGCACCUUCGCCAUCGGCGUCUGUCAAGCAAGGACUGGUUACGUAAAUAUUAUUGCGUCGACGCUACCGAAUAGGGCGGGCACAGAGGCGCCUGUUCGCGAACUGGCCGUUGCCAAGACGCCGACGUGAAUUGGAUAUUUCGAGUGUCUGCACAGCACGGAUUUCACGGCGUUCUGCCACCACAGCUGCACCACUCGUUUCAAGCAUAGAGCACAAACUGAGGCCUCAUGGCGUUCUGCCACCACAGCUGCGCCAUUCGUUUCAAGCACAGUACUUGAACCACACAUUAAGCGCUGAACCGUGGGCGGUCGACGCAGUCACAUUUUGAUGACUUGUAGAGAGGAGCACAUCCCUCGACGUCCGUUAUGCAAAGGCGGACGCGGUUCGCUGAACUGCACUGCCGAGGCGCUACGCCACUUCGACAUUUCAAUCGUCACCACCUCCGCAUUGUCAAGGAACACGGAUCACACAACGCAGAUUCUGUAUUGCCAGAGCUCACCGAGGCCAAAGCCGCACUGCCACACAAGCACUACUCACGGCUUUCCGCCAAGUAACACAGAACCUACAACGAAUACACAAGCAACGCAAGCACAAUCACAAACGCAAUGUUGAACAACGCGCGGUCGGCGCGGGCCAGAGAACGAUCACGCCGAGAACGAACACGCCAUCCUAUGCCGUCGUCACUUGGCGCCACCAUCGCGCCUUCUCAAAAGUCCCUAAAUGAUCGUGUCCCUAGGUGCCUAGGAUCUGGUCACGUGAGGGAUUUUUGUACGACAUUUAGACGCACGCCUUUUCGACUAGCAGCAACAACGUUUGAUCAACGUGGCCAACGCAGACGAGCGCGGUGCUUACAAUGAGCGCCUCAUUGACGCCGUUGAACAUGAACGUGCGUUAUGGGACCUGAGGGACAGGAACUACAAGUCCCGCCCCGUCUGUGACGCGGCUUGGCGGCACGUAGCAGCAGUGAUGGGAUGUUGCUGAAGUCAAAGCAAGGUGGAAAAACUUGCGAGACACGUUCAGGCGUGUCUUGAAGGAUCGGGCGCGAGCCAGCAAGAGCGGGGCGCCUGCUGACGACGCCCUGGACGAGUCUACGAAAUGGGUUUUCUUUUCUCGGCUCAUGUUCCUCAAGGAUACAAUGGAAGGGAGGCCGACAAGUGGGAAUUUGGAGCCUCAGUCUCAAAUGGAAGAAUCUCUAUGUGAUGUCGAAACAGCACAGGAGAUACUAGAGGGAAUUUACAUGGAGAAAGAGGUCUCCACAAGCGAGUCCACUGAGCCCCUAGAGGCACUACCAG